rnacentral:rRNA from 1 species
UGCGUAGGCGGACUAUUAAGUCAGUGGUGAAAUCCUGCAGCUUAACUGCAGAACUGCCAUUGAUACUGAUAGCCUUGAGUUUGGUUAAGGUAGGCGGAAUGUGUAAUGUAGCGGUGAAAUGCUUAGAUAUUACACAGAACACCAAUUGCGUAGGCAGCUUACUGAGCCGACACUGACGCUGAGGCACGAAAGCGUGGGAUCGAACA